rnacentral:rRNA from 1 species
GACGAACGCUGGCGGCGUGCUUAACACAUGCAAGUCGAACGGAAAGGCCCUGCUUUUGUGGGGUGCUCGAGUGGCGAACGGGUGAGUAACACGUGAGUAACCUGCCCUUGACUUUGGGAUAACUUCAGGAAACUGGGGCUAAUACCGGAUAGGAGCUCCUGCUGCAUGGUGGGGGUUGGAAAGUUUCGGCGGUUGGGGAUGGACUCGCGGCUUAUCAGCUUGUUUGUGGGGUAGUGGCUUACCAAGGGUUUGACGGGUAGCCGGCCUGAGAGGGUGACCGGCCACAUUGGGACUGAGAUACGGCCCAGACUCCUACGGGAGGCAGCAGUGGGGAAUAUUGCACAAUGGGCGGAAGCCUGAUGCAGCAACGCCGCGUGCGGGAUGACGGCCUUCGGGUUGUAAACCGCUUUCGACUGUGACGAAGCGUGAGUGACGGUAAUGGGUAAAGAAGCACCGGCUAACUACGUG